rnacentral:rRNA from 1 species
AUUGAACGCUGGCGGCAGGCUUAACACAUGCAAGUCGAGCGGGGUUUUCGGACCUAGCGGCGGACGGGUGAGUAAUGCGUAGGAAGCUGCCCGAUAGAGGGGGAUACCAGUUGGAAACGACUGUUAAUACCGCAUAAUGUCUACGGACCAAAGUGUGGGACCUUCGGGCCACAUGCUAUCGGAUGCGCCUACGUGGGAUUAGCUAGUUGGUGAGGUAAUGGCUCACCAAGGCGACGAUCUCUAGCUGGUUUGAGAGGAUGAUCAGCCACACUGGAACUGAGACACGGCCCAGACUCCUACGGGAGGCAGCAGUGGGGAAUAUUGGACAAUGGGCGCAAGCCUGAUCCAGCCAUGCCGCGUGUGUGAAGAAGGCCUUCGGGUUGUAAAGCACUUUCAGCGAGGAGGAAGGGGUGUGUGUUAAUAGUACACACCUUUGACGUUACUCGCAGAAGAAGCACCGGCUAACUCUGUGCCAGCCGCCGCAGUAAGAC